rnacentral:rRNA from 4 species
UUUCCAGAGAUGGACUGGUGCCUUCGGGAACUGUGAGACAGGUGCUGCAUGGCUGUCGUCAGCUCGUGUUGUGAAAUGUUGGGUUAAGUCCCGCAACGAGCGCAACCCUUAUCCUUUGUUGCCAGCGGUCCGGCCGGGAACUCAAAGGAGACUGCCAGUGAUAAACUGGAGGAAGGUGGGGAUGACGUCAAGUCAUCAUGGCCCUUACGACCAGGGCUACACACGUGCUACAAUGGCGCAUACAAAGAGAAGCGACCU